GGGUUGUGAGGUUAAGCGACUAAGCGUACACGGUGGAUGCCCUGGCAGUCAGAGGCGAUGAAGGACGUGCUAAUCUGCGAUAAGCGUCGGUAAGGUGAUAUGAACCGUUAUAACCGGCGAUUUCCGAAUGGGGAAACCCAGUGUGAUUCGUCACACUAUCAUUAACUGAAUCCAUAGGUUAAUGAGGCGAACCGGGGGAACUGAAACAUCUAAGUACCCCGAGGAAAAGAAAUCAACCGAGAUUCCCCCAGUAGCGGCGAGCGAACGGGGAGCAGCCCAGAGCCUGAAUCAGUGUGUGUGUUAGUGGAAGCGUCUGGAAAGGCGUGCGAUACAGGGUGACAGCCCCGUACACAAAAAUGCACAUACUGUGAGCUCGAUGAGUAGGGCGGGACACGUGGUAUCCUGUCUGAAUAUGGGGGGACCAUCCUCCAAGGCUAAAUACUCCUGACUGACCGAUAGUGAACCAGUACCGUGAGGGAAAGGCGAAAAGAACCCCGGCGAGGGGAGUGAAAAAGAACCUGAAACCGUGUACGUACAAGCAGUGGGAGCACGCUUAGGCGUGUGACUGCGUACCUUUUGUAUAAUGGGUCAGCGACUUAUAUUCUGUAGCAAGGUUAACCGAAUAGGGGAGCCGAAGGGAAACCGAGUCUUAACUGGGCGUUAAGUUGCAGGGUAUAGACCCGAAACCCGGUGAUCUAGCCAUGGGCAGGUUGAAGGUUGGGUAACACUAACUGGAGGACCGAACCGACUAAUGUUGAAAAAUUAGCGGAUGACUUGUGGCUGGGGGUGAAAGGCCAAUCAAACCGGGAGAUAGCUGGUUCUCCCCGAAAGCUAUUUAGGUAGCGCCUCGUGAAUUCAUCUCCGGGGGUAGAGCACUGUUUCGGCAAGGGGGUCAUCCCGACUUACCAACCCGAUGCAAACUGCGAAUACCGGAGAAUGUUAUCACGGGAGACACACGGCGGGUGCUAACGUCCGUCGUGAAGAGGGAAACAACCCAGACCGCCAGCUAAGGUCCCAAAGUCAUGGUUAAGUGGGAAACGAUGUGGGAAGGCCCAGACAGCCAGGAUGUUGGCUUAGAAGCAGCCAUCAUUUAAAGAAAGCGUAAUAGCUCACUGGUCGAGUCGGCCUGCGCGGAAGAUGUAACGGGGCUAAACCAUGCACCGAAGCUGCGGCAGCGACGCUUAUGCGUUGUUGGGUAGGGGAGCGUUCUGUAAGCCUGUGAAGGUGUGCUGUGAGGUAUGCUGGAGGUAUCAGAAGUGCGAAUGCUGACAUAAGUAACGAUAAAGCGGGUGAAAAGCCCGCUCGCCGGAAGACCAAGGGUUCCUGUCCAACGUUAAUCGGGGCAGGGUGAGUCGACCCCUAAGGCGAGGCCGAAAGGCGUAGUCGAUGGGAAACAGGUUAAUAUUCCUGUACUUGGUGUUACUGCGAAGGGGGGACGGAGAAGGCUAUGUUGGCCGGGCGACGGUUGUCCCGGUUUAAGCGUGUAGGCUGGUUUUCCAGGCAAAUCCGGAAAAUCAAGGCCGAGGCGUGAUGACGAGGCACUACGGUGCUGAAGCAACAAAUGCCCUGCUUCCAGGAAAAGCCUCUAAGCAUCAGGUAACAUCAAAUCGUACCCCAAACCGACACAGGUGGUCAGGUAGAGAAUACCAAGGCGCUUGAGAGAACUCGGGUGAAGGAACUAGGCAAAAUGGUGCCGUAACUUCGGGAGAAGGCACGCUGAUACGUAGGUGAAGCGACUUGCUCGUGGAGCUGAAAUCAGUCGAAGAUACCAGCUGGCUGCAACUGUUUAUU
rnacentral:rRNA from 1 species